UCCUGUGGGCGUUACUGAGAAGAGAGGGAGUCUCGUUUCCACCUGGUCUGAGCCCCGCGGUGGGUGGGCCUGGAGUUUGGGCCGUCGCUUUCCUCCUCUGAGUAAAGAGCCUGUUGGAGAAUAGAGCCAAGAAGAGAAUGGGAGCGCCAGAGACGGAGAGAGUGAAUGUGGGUCCUGAAGAAAUCCUUCCUCUGGGUCCGGCCCCAUCCGAAGUCUGCGAGAUCUGUUCCAGGAUUAGUGGGGUGGCUGAGCCAGUAAAUUAUCUUUUUUUGCUUAAUCCUGUUUGAAUUGGGAUUCAACCACAACGACAGAGAUCCUGACUUCUAUAGGCCUUCAGUGAAUUUUUGUACCUUUACUUUAAUCGAUAUGUUGGACUUGCCCAGUGUCACAGCUAGUAAGUGGCAACAGUGUUAUUUGAAACCAGUUCUGACCCUAUAGCUCAUGUAUGUCAUGUUCUCUGCAUAUGGGAACUUGCAUUGUAUUGGGGGGCCAGACGGACACAGACACAGAUGAAUCAGGUGGAUGAUGAGCCAAGGUGGGGACGGCUUGGCCGUUGUGUAAAAGCCCUGGGCGUCGUGCUUCUGGAGCACCCUCACCCUGCACUCUCCUUCCAAAGCUGUAAAUGGUCUGGGAGAAGCACAAUUGCUGGUUCACAGACAUGCCAGCUGGCUCUGAGUGUUUCUAUGCAAGGAGCUGAUGCUUCUAUUGCUUAUUUAAAGGAGAAUUCUUGCCUAGAGCAGACUGGAUGAAACAGAGACACAUCCACAGUGCUGGACUCUGACUCACCAUGUGACUCCUUUGGUUGAGUCAUCUCUCUCCUGAGAUGGGCUCUCUUGUCUGCAAAAUGAAGCUUGACGAAUGUACAAAUGAGGUCUCUUGAGUAGUGAAACUGGAAGGUUGCUGCUGGGUAGUCCCACCUGAGUAACUGUAGGACUAGGCUUUCCCUAACAUAUCUGGGAGUCCCCAAGGGUAUUGGUGAACAAGUCCAGGUGGUCUGACAUUAUCUCCCCAGCUCUGGAAAGACCCUCGCUCCCGAUGGAGCUCAGUGCCUCCUGUUGCACAACAGUCACCCCUGCCCAGAGUGCCCUAUUUCUGUGGCACUGCCUGCCUCUGGACUAUCCUCUUAGCAUGCUGCCCCACUGCCCUGGACCUCUGGUGAGGAAGGAAGCUCCCUUCCCCAGUCCUGUUAUCAUGGAAAUACUCUCCAGGGAGUGGUCUGCUCAGAACCUCCACAACUCGUCCAGGAGAACCAUGAGGCUGGGUCUGAGGGCUGCAGGAUCUCUGCAGAAAUAAGAAGACGUGGUGGAGAAGGGAUGACACCCAGUGAUAUAAUCUUUGGCCCACUGCUCCAAAGAUGCGCUAAGACAAUAAAACCACUAAUUCUGUCUCCUAGUAUACCAGGAAUGGAAGCUCUGCAGGAAAACCAAGUUGUAUUGUAAUUACAAGCUUUUAAGAAUUAAAGGAAGCAGAGGUCUGGAAAGUCUGUCUUACCUAGAGCUUCACAGCCAGGACAUCUGAAGUCCUGCCCUUCACAGAUCUUGUGGCGUGAUGGAAGAAACAGGCAUUCAGAAAGCUAUAAUAUAAAACAAAAGGAAAUGAAAGAUCAAAUAGACCUUCAAACAAAUGCCAGCUGAACAGUAAAAACAAAACAAAACAAAACAAACAAAAAACCCCAAAACAAAAGCCAACCCAGCCCAGCAGUUAAAUGUGAUUUGAGUCAAUAAAGGCUACACGGGGACGCCUGGGUGGCUUAGCGGUUGAACGUCUGCCUUUGGCUCAGGUCGUGAUCCCGUGGUUCUAGGAUCGAGUCCCACAUCAGGCUCCCGGCAUGGAGCCUGCUUCUCCCUCUG